rnacentral:rRNA from 1 species
AGGACUAACGCUGGCGGCGUGCCUAACACAUGCAAGUCGAACGAGGGGUAGCAAUACCCCUAGUGGCAGACGGGUGAGUAACACGUAGUCAACCUACCUCUUAAUGGGGGAUAACUAGCCGAAAGGUUAGCUAAUACCGCAUACGAUCGUCGAGUGGCAUCACACGACGAUGAAAGGAGCAAUCCGUUGAGAGAGGGGACUGCGUCCCAUUAGUUAGUUGGUGGGGUAAUGGCCUACCAAGACUCCGAUGGGUAGCUGGCUUGAGAGAGCGACCAGCCACACUGGAACUGAGACACGGUCCAGACUCCUACGGGAGGCAGCAGUGAGGAAUUUUUCCGCAAUGGGGGAAACCCUGACGGAGCGACGCCGCGUGUGGGAAGAAGGCCUUCGGGUCGUAACCACUGUCGAGGGGGACGAUAUUGACGGUACCCCUGGAGGAAGCCCGGCUAACUACGCGCCAGCAGCCGC